rnacentral:rRNA from 1 species
CCUACGGGAGGCAGCAGUAGGGAAUCUUCCACAAUGGGCGAAAGCCUGAUGGAGCAACGCCGCGUGGGUGAAGAAGGUCUUCGGAUCGUAAAACCCUGUUGUUAGAGAAGAAAGUGCGUGAGAGUAACUGUUCACGUUUCGACGGUAUCUAACCAGAAAGCCACGGCUAACUACGUGCCAGCAGCCGCGGUAAUACGUAGGUGGCAAGCGUUAUCCGGAUUUAUUUGGCGUAAAGGGAACGCAGGCGGUCUUUUAAGUCUGAUGUGAAAGCCUUCGGCUUAACCGGAGUAGUGCAUUGGAAACUGGGAGACUUGAGUGCAGAAGAGGUGAGUGGAACUCCAUGUGUAGCGGUGAAAUGCGUAGAUAUAUGGAAGAACACCAGUGGCGAAAGCGGCUCUCUGGUCUGUAACUGACGCUGAGGUUCGAAAGCGUGGGUAGCAAACAGGAUUAGAUACCCCAGUAGUC